CAGGGUUCAUUUUGUAGGCCAGGCUGGCCUGAAACUUGUGAUCAUCCUGCCUCAGCCUCCUGACUGCUGAGAU
rnacentral:miRNA from 1 species